rnacentral:rRNA from 1 species
GUAGGGAAUAUUGCGCAAUGGGGGAAACCCUGACGCAGCGACGCCGCGUGAGUGAUGAAGGCCUUCGGGUCGUAAAGCUCUGUUGCAGGGGAAUAAAAAAAUGAAGGUACCCUGUGAGGAAGGAUCGGCUAACUUCGUGCCAGCAGCCGCGGUAAGACGAGGGAUCCUAGCGUUGCUCGGAAUCAUUGGGCGUAAAGAGGGCGUAGGUGGCUUGGUAAGUCAGGUGUGAAAGCCCAGGGCUCAACCCUGGAAGUGCAUUUGAUACUGCUGAGCUUGAGUGUCGGAGAGGUUACCGGAAUACCUGGUGUAGUGGUGAAAUACGUAGAUAUCAGGAGGAAUACCGGAGGCGAAGGCGGAUAGCUGGCCAGACACUGACACUCAGACCCGAAAGCGUGGGGAUCAAACAGGAUUAGAAACCCCGGUAGUCC